GACGAACGCUGGCGGCGUGCCUAAUACAUGCAAGUCGAGCGAAGCGGCGGAUGGGUUAGUAAGGAGUGGGUAACCUGGCCUUAAAUCUGGGAUACCAAUUGGAAACAGCUGCUAAUACCGGAUACUAAAGGAUGGACAUGGGAUGCAUUAGCUAGUUGGUCAGGUAACGGCUUACCAAGGCGAUGAUGCAUAGCCGAGUUGAGAGACUGAUCGGCCACAUUGGAACUGAGACACGUCCCAAACUCCUACGGGAGGCAGCAGUAGGUAAUCUUCCACAAUGGACGAAAGUCUGAUGGAGCCACGCCGCGUGAGUGAAGAAGGUUUUCGGAUCGUAAAGCUCUGUGUUUGGUGAAGCGGUAAUCACCCAGAAAGUCACGGCUAACUACGUGCCAGCCGCCGCGGUAAUUC
rnacentral:rRNA from 1 species